GGUUAAGUUAGAAAGGGCGCACGGUGGAUGCCUUGGCACUAGGAGCCGAUGAAGGACGGGACGAACACCGAUAUGCUUCGGGGAGCUGUAAGCAAGCUUUGAUCCGGAGAUUUCCGAAUGGGGAAACCCACCACUCGUAAUGGAGUGGUAUCCAUAUCUGAAUACAUAGGGUAUGAGAAGGCAGACCCGGGGAACUGAAACAUCUAAGUACCCGGAGGAAGAGAAAGCAAAUGCGAUUCCCUGAGUAGCGGCGAGCGAAACGGGACCAGCCCAAACCAAGAGGCUUGCCUCUUGGGGUUGUAGGACACUCUGUACGGAGUUACAAAGGAACGAGGUAGAUGAAGAGGUCUGGAAAGGCCCGCCAUAGGAGGUAACAGCCCUGUAGUCAAAACUUCGUUCUCUCCUGAGUGGAUCCUGAGUACGGCGGAACACGUGAAAUUCCGUCGGAAUCCGGGAGGACCAUCUCCCAAGGCUAAAUACUCCCUAGUGACCGAUAGUGAACCAGUACCGUGAGGGAAAGGUGAAAAGCACCCCGGAAGGGGAGUGAAAGAGAUCCUGAAACCGUGUGCCUACAAGUAGUCAGAGCCCGUUAACGGGUGAUGGCGUGCCUUUUGUAGAAUGAACCGGCGAGUUACGAUCCCGUGCAAGGUUAAGCAGAAGAUGCGGAGCCGCAGCGAAAGCGAGUCUGAAUAGGGCGAAUUGAGUACGUGGUCGUAGACCCGAAACCAGGUGAUCUACCCAUGUCCAGGGUGAAGUUCAGGUAACACUGAAUGGAGGCCCGAACCCACGCACGUUGAAAAGUGCGGGGAUGAGGUGUGGGUAGGGGUGAAAUGCCAAUCGAACCUGGAGAUAGCUGGUUCUCUCCGAAAUAGCUUUAGGGCUAGCCUCAAGGUAAGAGUCUCGGAGGUAGAGCACUGAUUGGACUAGGGGCCCCUACCGGGUUACCGAAUUCAGUCAAACUCCGAAUGCCGAUGACUUAUCCUUGGGAGUCAGACUGCGAGUGAUAAGAUCCGUAGUCGAAAGGGAAACAGCCCAGACCGCCAGCUAAGGUCCCAAAGUAUACGUUAAGUGGAAAAGGAUGUGGAGUUGCUUAGACAACCAGGAUGUUGGCUUAGAAGCAGCCACCAUUUAAAGAGUGCGUAAUAGCUCACUGGUCGAGUGACUCUGCGCCGAAAAUGUACCGGGGCUAAACGUAUCACCGAAGCUGCGGACUGUUCUUCGAACAGUGGUAGGAGAGCGUUCUAAGGGCUGUGAAGCAAGACCGGAAGGACUUGUGGAGCGCUUAGAAGUGAGAAUGCCGGUAUGAGUAGCGAAAGAGGGGUGAGAAUCCCCUCCACCGAAUGCCUAAGGUUUCCUGAGGAAGGCUCGUCCGCUCAGGGUUAGUCGGGACCUAAGCCGAGGCCGAAAGGCGUAGGCGAUGGAUAACAGGUUGAUAUUCCUGUACCACCUCCUCACCAUUUGAGCAAUGGGGGGACGCAGGAGGAUAGGGUAAGCGCGGUAUUGGAUAUCCGCGUCCAAGCAGUUAGGCUGGGAAAUAGGCAAAUCCGUUUCCCGUGAAGGCUGAGCUGUGAUGGCGAGCGAAUUAUAGUAGCGAAGUUCCUGAUUCCACACUGCCAAGAAAAGCCUCUAGCGAGGUGAGAGGUGCCCGUACCGCAAACCGACACAGGUAGGCGAGGAGAGAAUCCUAAGGUGAUCGAGAGAACUCUCGUUAAGGAACUCGGCAAAAUGACCCCGUAACUUCGGGAGAAGGGGUGCUCUGUUAGGGUGCAAGCCCGAGAGAGCCGCAGUGAAUAGGCCCAGGCGACUGUUUAGCAAAAACACAGGUCUCUGCGAAGCCGUAAGGCGAAGUAUAGGGGCUGACGCCUGCCCGGUGCUGGAAGGUUAAGAGGAGCGCUUAGCGUAAGCGAAGGUGCGAAUUGAAGCCCCAGUAAACGGCGGCCGUAACUAUAACGGUCCUAAGGUAGCGAAAUUCCUUGUCGGGUAAGUUCCGACCCGCACGAAAGGCGCAACGAUCUGGGCACUGUCUCAACGAGAGACUCGGUGAAAUUAUAGUACCUGUGAAGAUGCAGGUUACCCGCGACAGGACGGAAAGACCCCGUGGAGCUUUACUGCAGCCUGAUAUUGAAUGUUGGUACAGCUUGUACAGGAUAGGUAGGAGCCUUGGAAACCGGAGCGCCAGCUUCGGUGGAGGCAUCGGUGGGAUACUACCCUGGCUGUAUUGACCUUCUAACCCGCCGCCCUUAUCGGGCGGGGAGACAGUGUCAGGUGGGCAGUUUGACUGGGGCGGUCGCCUCCUAAAAGGUAACGGAGGCGCCCAAAGGUUCCCUCAGAAUGGUUGGAAAUCAUUCGCAGAGUGUAAAGGCACAAGGGAGCUUGACUGCGAGACCUACAAGUCGAGCAGGGACGAAAGUCGGGCUUAGUGAUCCGGUGGUUCCGCAUGGAAGGGCCAUCGCUCAACGGAUAAAAGCUACCCCGGGGAUAACAGGCUUAUCUCCCCCAAGAGUCCACAUCGACGGGGAGGUUUGGCACCUCGAUGUCGGCUCAUCGCAUCCUGGGGCUGUAGUCGGUCCCAAGGGUUGGGCUGUUCGCCCAUUAAAGCGGUACGCGAGCUGGGUUCAGAACGUCGUGAGACAGUUCGGUCCCUAUCCGUCGCGGGCGCAGGAAAUUUGAGAGGAGCUGUCCUUAGUACGAGAGGACCGGGAUGGACGCACCGCUGGUGUACCAGUUGUUCUGCCAAGGGCAUCGCUGGGUAGCUAUGUGCGGACGGGAUAAGUGCUGAAAGCAUCUAAGCAUGAAGCCCCCCUCAAGAUGAGAUUUCCCAUUCCGCAAGGAAGUAAGAUCCCUGAAAGAUGAUCAGGUUGAUAGGUCUGAGGUGGAAGUGUGGCGACACAUGGAGCUGACAGAUACUAAUCGAUCGAGGACUUAACCAA
rfam:Bacillus amyloliquefaciens FZB42, complete genome.